rnacentral:rRNA from 1 species
UACAGAGGGUGCAAGCGUUAAUCGGAAUUACUGGGCGUAAAGCGCGCGUAGGUGGUUUGUUAAGUUGGAUGUGAAUCCCCCGGGCUCAACCUGGGGAACUGCAUUCAAAAACUGACAAGCUAGAGUAUGGUAGAGGGUGGUGGAAUUUCCUGUGUAGCGGUGAAAUGCGUAGAUAUAGGAAGGAACACCAGUGCGAAGGCGGUCUGCUGGGGUAAUGCUGACACUG